AGUCGAGCGAGCAUUUUAAAGGAAGUUUUCGGAUGGAAUUUGAAAUGACUGAGCGGCGGACGGGUGAGUAACGCGUGGGUAACCUGCCUCAUACAGGGGGAUAACAGUUAGAAAUGACUGCUAAUACCGCAUAAGCACACAGUACCGCAUGGUACAGAGUGAAAAACUCCGGUGGUAUGAGAUGGACCCGCGUCUGAUUAGCUUGUUGGCGGGGUAACGGCCCACCAAGGCGACGAUCAGUAGCCGACCUGAGAGGGUGACCGGCCACAUUGGGACUGAGACACGGCCCAAACUCCUACGGGAGGCAGCAGUGGGGAAUAUUGCACAAUGGGGGAAACCCUGAUGCAGCAACGCCGCGUGAGUGAAGAAGUAUUUCGGUAUGUAAAGCUCUAUCAGCAGGGAAGAAAGUGACGGUACCUGACUAAGAAGCCCCGGCUAACUACGUGCCAGCAGCCGCGGUAAUACGUAGGGGGCAAGCGUUAUCCGGAUUUACUGGGUGUAAAGGGAGCGUAGACGGCACAGCAAGUCUGAAGUGAAAUCCCCGGGCUCAACCCGGGAACUGCUUUGGAAACUGUUGGGCUAGAGUGCUGGAGAGGCAAGCGGAAUUCCUAGUGUAGCGGUGAAAUGCGUAG
rnacentral:rRNA from 1 species